UAGUUCCGGAGAGCGAAGUUCAGA
rnacentral:siRNA from 1 species